rnacentral:tmRNA from 1 species
GGGGCUGUAUUGGCUUCGACAGCGUAGUUCUUUGAGAGUAUAAGCAUGUCGUGCGUUGGAUAAUUAGCACGUUAAUCUGAAUAUUCAAAACUCAAAUGGCAAUACACAGUAUGCCAUGGCUGCCUAAUCAGUGAUUAAGUAGUCAUUAGGGCCGCGUUGAGCAGGUUGGUCUGUUACCAAGCUCCGCCGCCGACUCAAAACAAAAUACAGGCUGCUGCAAGUGAAGGCUGUGACGCUUGCUUAAGACCAUCCAGCUAAGGGGGAAAUUGGUUCGUGCUGUUCCUGCUUCCCUUCUACAAUUAAUACAGUAAUAAGCAUGUAGAAAACUUUCGGCGGAUAUGUUUGGACGAGGGUUCGACUCCCUCCAGCUCCACCG